AAUGAACGCUGGCGGCGCGCCUAAUACAUGCAAGUCGAGCGAGAAGACGUAGCAAUACGUUUGUAAAGCGGCGAACGGGUGAGGAAUACAUGGGUAACCUACCCUAGAGUGGGGAAUAACUAGCCGAAAGGUUAGCUAAUACCGCGUACGCUCCUUGGACUUCGGUUCAGGGAGGAAAGCGAUGCCGAGGGUAUCGCGCUCUUGGAUGGGCUCAUGUCCUAUCAGCUUGUUGGNGAGGUAACGGCUCACCAAGGCUUCGACGGGUAGCUGGUCUGAGAGGACGAUCAGCCACACUGGCACUGCGACACGGGCCAGACUCCUACGGGAGGCAGCAGUAAGGAAUAUUGCGCAAUGGGCGAAAGCCUGACGCAGCGACGCCGCGUGGGGGA
rnacentral:rRNA from 1 species